rnacentral:rRNA from 1 species
GAGUUGCGUAGGUGGUUAGUAAAGCGAAUAGUGAAACCUGGUGGCUCAACCAUACAGACUAUUAUUCGAACUCACUAACUCGAGAGUGGUAGAGGUAACUGGAAUUUCUUGUGUAGGAGUGAAAUCCGUAGAUAUAAGAAGGAACACCAAUGGCGUAGGCAGGUUACUGGACCAUUUCUGACACUGAGGCACGAAAGCGUGGGGAGCGAACCGGAUUAGAUACCCGGGUAGUCCACGCCGUAAACGAUGGAUACUAGCUGUUGGAGGUAUCGACCCCUUCAGUAGCGAAGCUAACGCGUUAAGUAUCCCGCCUGUGGAGUACGGUCGCAAGACUAAAACAUAAAGGAAUUGACGGGGAUCAGCACAAGCGGUGGAUCGUGUUCUUUAAUUCGAUGAUAAACGAAGAACCUUACCAGGGCUUGACAUCCAGGGAAGCACUGCGAAAGCAGAGUGUGCCUUUUGGAACCCUGUGACAGGUGUUGCAUGGCCGUCGUCAGCUCGUGUCGUGAGAUGUUUGGUUAAGUCCAUCAACGAGCGCAACCCUUGUGAAUAGUUGUAUUUUUCUAUUCAGACUGCUCUAGUAAUAGGGAGGAAGGAGGGGAUGAUGUCAGGUCAGUAUUACCCUUACGUCCUGGGCUAGAAACACGAUACAAUGGCCGGUACAAUGCGCAGCGAAGCAGCAAUGUGGAGCAAAUCGCAUCAAAGCCGGUCCCAGUUCGGAUAAGAGGCUGAAACUCGCCUCUUGAAGCCGGAAUCG